rnacentral:rRNA from 1 species
UGGGGAAUAUUGCACAAUGGGCGAAAGCCUGAUGCAGCGACGCCGCGUGAGGGAUGACGGCCUUCGGGUGUAAACCUCUUUCAGCAGGGAAGAAGCGAAAGUGACGGUACCUGCAGAAGAAGCACCGGCUAACUACGUGCCAGCAGCCGCGGUAAUACGUAGGGUGCGAGCGUUGUCCGGAAGUUAUUGGGCGUAAAGAGCUUGUAGGCGGUUUGUCGCGUCUGCUGUGAAAAUCCGGGGCUCAACCCCGGACUUGCAGUGGGUACGGGCAGACUAGAGUGUGGUAGGGGAGACUGGAAUUCCUGGUGUAGCGGUGAAAUGCGCAGAUAUCAGGAGGAACACCGAUGGCGAAGGCAGGUCUCUGGGCCACUACUGACGCUGAGAAGCGAAAGCAUGGGGAGCGAACAGGAUUAGAUACCCUGGUAGUCCAUCCGUAAACGUUGGGCGCUAGUGUGGGACUCAUUCCACGAGUUCCGUGCCGCAGCUAA